UACGAAGGGGGCUAGCGUUGCUCGGAAUCACUGGGCGUAAAGGGUGCGUAGGCGGGUUUUUAAGUCAGGGGUGAAAUCCUGGAGCUCAACUCCAGAACUGCCUUUGAUACUGAAGAUCUUGAGUCCGGGAGAGGUGAGUGGAACUGCGAGUGUAGAGGUGAAAUUCGUAGAUAUUGGGAAGAACACCGGUGGCGAAGGCGGCUCACUGGCUCAUUACUGACGCUCAGGCGCGACAGCGUGGGGGAGCAAACAGG
rnacentral:rRNA from 1 species